rnacentral:rRNA from 1 species
CGGUGUUUAACUGGCGUGAUGUGGGACGUCCUACCGGUGGGCUUAGCCUCGCGAGGGGCGGCCCAACUAAUAUCCCGUCGCGGUGCUCUUUACUGAGUGUCGAGUCGGGCCGGUACGUUUACUUUGAACAAAUUAGAGUGCUUAAAGCAGGCUAUCCUCGCCGGAAUACUGCGUGCAUGGAAUAAUGGAAUAGGACCUCGGUUCUAUUUUGUUGGUUUUCGGAACCCCGAGGUAAUGAUUAAUAGGGACAGAUGGGGGCAUUCGUAUUGCGACGUUAGAGGUGAAAUUCUUGGAUCGUCGCAAGACGGACAGAAGCGAAAGCAUUUGCCAAAAAUGUUUUCAUUAAUCAAGAACGAAAGUUAGAGGUUCGAAGGCGAUCAGAUACCGCCCUAGUUCUAACCAUAAACGAUGCCAGCUAGCGAUCCGCCGAAGUUCCUCCGAUGACUCGGCGGGCAGCUUCCGGGAAACCAAAGCUUUUGGGUUCCGGGGGAAGUAUGGUUGCAAAGCUGAAACUUAAAGGAAUUGACGGAAGGGCACCACCAGGAGUGGAGCCUGCGGCUUAAUUUGACUCAACACGGGAAACCUCACCAGGCCCAGACACCGGAAGGAUUGACAGAUUGAUAGCUCUUUCUUGAUUCGGUGGGUGGUGGUGCAUGGCCGUUCUUAGUUGGUGGAGCGAUUUGUCUGGUUAAUUCCGAUAACGAACGAGACUCUAGCCUGCUAAAUAGGCGUACCUUAUGGUAUCGCGAAGGCCCCCGGCUUCGGCCGGUGGGUUUUUACUACCAACGUACAAACAAAUCUUCUUAGAGGGACAGGCGG